CGGGGUAUAGCUCAAUGGUAGAGCAUUCGACCGCAGAUUGAGAGGUCCCCGGUUUAAUCCCGGAUGUUCUCUUCGG
rnacentral:tRNA from 1 species